UGCGCUGACUUCCGCCGUACGAUCACCUGACCUGAGUCCUGUUCGUUCAGUUGCUUGUUAAAUCGGUCGCCGCAUAGACAGUAAGUAGCCAUUUUGUUGGUUAAUCUCACUCACAAAAACUGUCCCACAAGCUGUACUUGCAGAACUGCAGAUCCAAAACCCGCCGUAUGUGCUUGCUAUAUACUACUUUGUGUUACUAGCUAGGUAUAAUAUCUCCCACUUCCACCUGUGUGUUGAUGACGUUCUACCUGUGUAUAGUAAUCUGUAUUUAUUCCAAAAUUAAUUAAUUGAAAACUCCUGGAAAAUGUGCUUGAAAAGAGAGAGCAUUUGGAUUUGUGUUAUCUUUGUAUGACUGUGGCAUUAAUAAUCUGUUUAAAAUCUAAAAGGAAUGUCACUUUUUAUUAAGCACCCAGUUUGAAGCCAGAAGUGGGUUUAGCCUUAAAAUUCAUCUUUUUAGCCUGGGCUUGUACACACAGAAGUGCUUUAUACUGCGACUAGCUGUUCUACCCAUUCUUCGCACGGGAGUUUCUGAUUUUCAAGGUUGUAAAUAUAAAUAAGUGUUAAAAAUUUGGUAAAUCUAUAGAGAUGUAAAUUUGAGAUGUGUUAAUGUAAGCAAAUAUUAAUCCAUGGUUCUUGGCUUUACCCGAGGAGCACCCUUAGCAUAUUCGGUAAAAAGUGACAGGACCAUUUUCAUACCUCCCAACAUGACCCUCUCCAGGAGGCACACAAUGCUCUGCUUCUGGACUUUUUUCUUAAUUUGUGAUUGCCAGCACCUGUUUUGAACAGGUAAAUGAAUAAAGAAAGGUGUUUCAGCGCCGGUGAUGGUAAUGAUAAAUUAAGAGGGAAGUCCAGGAACAGAGCAUUCUGUCCCUCCUGGAGGGGGUCAUGUUGGGAGGUAUGCAUUUUUGUAGUUGAUUAAAUUCUACCCACUGGAGGUGCAAUGCAAAUAGUGAUCCGGUUGUCCGUUUGGGCGUUACCGUUCACACAAUGCAAGCCACGCAUCGGUAAGGACAUCAUUAUGUCAACCCCCCAUUUCAUCCCCUUAGGGAAGGUUUAUUAAAAUUCCAAUUGCGUAGUUCUCCCUAUUUCCCACCUGCAGAAGACUUAUGUUAAAUUUCAGCUUUCUAACAUAUCGGGAAGUAAGAGAAUUAGUGAAGAGUGAGUGAGGGCUUUCACACACAUAUAUAUAUAUAUAUAUAUAUAUAUAUAUAUAUAUAUAUAUAUAUAUAAACAGAGAAAAAAAGAGGCGGCACUCGGAGACUUGCAAAUUACAGUGUAUUCACAGCAAGUGACAUCUACGUUUCGGGGACCAAACUCCCCUUCGUCAGGAUGCCGUAAGGGCGGAAGUGCUCUCCUGCCCUCUCGUUUUGUCACGUCCAGGUCCUUAGCACGAAGGCAACAUAGACACAACCCUUACGGAGUGCGCUGACUUCCGCCGUACGAUCACCUGACCUGAGUCCUGUUCGUUCAGUUGCUUGUUAAAUCGGUCGCCGCAUAGACAAUUUCAAACACUGAUCCUAGUCCUAAAAACUAGUCUUCAGCAAGACCAUGUGACGUUAAAAUCCUUCAGAUUUCAGUGAAGACAUGUCUAGAACAUUCCACAAAGUUUAGAAUGGGCACCGGAGCACUGGCCUAUUCUGUACAGACAAAUGACGCACCUUCAGGUUUGGAUAACAGCAGUGCAACCUUUGCAGUGGAAAUGAACGGCGGCUCUCUAUUGGAUGCCUGCAGUGAGUAUGCAGCUCAGAUCGAGGACCAGAGUCAGGACACAGGAAAACCUGAGCACAUUGACCACACAUAUUCAGCAACAUGUUAUGAGCCCGAAACUGAUAUCCCAUAUUCCGCUCUAAGUCCUGAUACCAUUAUGCUUAAAAGAAAAAUUAGACGUUUACAUCGACGGGCACAGAGACAGAAGCAUAAGAUAAAAAACAUGAAACGACUGAUUAAACAGUUAAAGUCCAGCAUGUCAAGACAACCUUGUGGAUUAACGGCAUAAUAGUAAUAGAUGCACAGGACCUGAUGUGAUGGAAUGUUUGUUUAAUGGUGAUAUUCAUGUGCCAAAAGGUUAUAUGAGGACACCCAUAAUAAGUAAUAUAUAGGUAAAUAUGUAUACAUAUAUUAUUAGUUCUUUAGUUAAUGUGUAUAUAAGAUAUAUAAUAAAAUUGGAAUAAAACAACA